rnacentral:rRNA from 1 species
GAUUAACGCUGGCGGCAUGCCUAAUGCGUGCAAGUCGAACGAUCCUUCGGGAUAGUGGCGGACGGGUGAGUAACACGUGGGAACGUGCCCUUUGGUUCGGAAUAACUCAGGGAAACUUGAGCUAAUACCGGAUGAGCCCUUCGGGGGAAAGAUUUAUCGCCAUUGGAGCGGCCCGCGUUGGAUUAGCUAGUUGGUGGGGUAAAGGCCCACCAAGGCUACGAUCUAUAGCUGGUCUGAGAGGAUGAUCAGCCACACUGGGACUGAGACACGGCCCAGACUCCUACGGGAGGCAGCAGUGGGGAAUCUUGCGCAAUGGGCGAAAGCCUGACGCAGCCAUGCCGCGUGAAUGAUGAAGGUCUUAGGAUUGUAAAAUUCUUUCACCGGGGACGAUAAUGACGGUACCCGGAGAAGAAGCCCCGGCUAACUUCGUGCCAGCCGCCGCCGUAA